GUUUGUUUCUUGUUGCACGUGACCCGUAAACGGGUGGAGCAGAGGAUAUUGCGACGGCAUCCGUCUCGGAGCGUGAACAGAAGCCAUGGAGGUGCAAGAAGAGGUGCCAGACGCCGCUAGCUAAUCACGUGAAUAAGAAGAAUGACUGAAGAAGCGAAGCGAACGUACGAGCUUGUGGUGUUUGGUGCGUCCGGUUAUACUGGUGAAUUUGUGGCUGAAAGAGUCGCAAAACGGGCAAGGGAAGUCUCUCUUUCAUGGGCAGUCGCAGGCAGAAAUCUUGCAAAGCUACAGAAGGUUGUAGACGAUAUUGCCAAGUCAACAGGAGGAAAUCCAUCCGAUGUGGGUAUAAUUGAAGCAGACAUAGAAGAUGAAACCUCACUCAAACAGAUGUGUGCCAGCUGUAAGGUGCUACUCAACUGUGUGGGACCAUAUCGUUUCUACGGUGAGCCGGUUGUCAAGGCUUGUGUUGAGGAGAAAUGUGAUUAUGUUGAUAUCAGUGGUGAGCCACAGUUUCUGGAGACAAUGCAGCUCAAGUACAACGAAAAGGCUCGAGACAAUGGCGUUCACAUUGUUGGCACGUGUGGGUUUGAUAGCAUUCCUGCCGACAUAGGAACGUUGUUUGCAAGAGAGAAGUUUCCUGUCCAUCAGCUGACGAUAAGUCUUCACUGAUUCAUGUCACUGAAGUUCAUGGUGAAGAGCCUGGAUAUGUUGCUACAUCUGCAAUGUUCGUAGAGGCGGCUAUUACAUUACUACUUGAACAUUCAAGUCUUCCAAACAAAGGAAGAGUGCUAACGCCUGCGUCAGCAUUUCGAGGAACGAAGCUGCUAGAUAAUCUUGUUCGACAAGGAGUGCAGUUCAUUGUUCACGGAGAAGAGUACAAGGCAUGAGAUAAACAGAUGACUUGAAGAGAUUUGUUGUUGAUUGAGUUGCUUUCUUCAAACGCAAUCUUGCAUGCAGUGAUCAUUGAGUUUUUUUACUGAACUGGACUUAGACGUGUGACCAUCAAUCAUUUUUGACUUUGCUAUGCCCCCUGAUCAUUGUCAUGUGAUAUGAG